rnacentral:other from 1 species
CGGUUGCUGCGCGGUGCGUCCGGCUAAAAUAUCCCGGGGGCUACAGUGAUCCUCAUAGGGAACUGUCCCUGCCGGGAUCGUGGUCCCGGUACACGGUGCCCACCUGGUUUACCAGGCCUUUGAGGAUAUAUGCGGCCGACGGCCAACGCGGCUUCCGC